rnacentral:rRNA from 1 species
CCGUAGAUGAACGCUGGCGGCAUGCCUUACACAUGCAAGUCGAACGGCAGCACGGGAGUAAUCCUGGUGGCGAGUGGCGAACGGGUGAGUAAUACAUCGGAACGUGUCCUGUAGUGGGGGAUAGCCCGGCGAAAGCCGGAUUAAUACCGCAUACGAUCUGCGGAUGAAAGCGGGGGCUCCUUCGGGACCUCGCGCUGCAGGGGCGGCCGAUGGCAGAUUAGCUAGUUGGUGGGGUAAAGGCCUACCAAGGCGACGAUCUGUAGCUGGUCUGAGAGGACGACCAGCCACACUGGGACUGAGACACGGCCCAGACUCCUACGGGAGGCAGCAGUGGGGAAUUUUGGACAAUGGGGGAAACCCUGAUCCAGCAAUGCCGCGUGUGUGAAGAAGGCCUUCGGGUUGUAAAGCACUUUUGUCCGGAAAGAAAACCUCGUGGUUAAUACCCGUGGGGGAUGACGGUACCGGAAGAAUAAGCACCGGCUAACUACGUGCCAGCAGCCGCGGUAAUACGUAGGGUGCAAGCGUUAAUCGGAAUUACUGGGCGUAAAGCGUGCGCAGGCGGUUCGCUAAGACAGAUGUGAAAUCCCCGGGCUUAACCUGGGAACUGCAUUUGUGACUGGCGGGCUAGAGUAUGGCAGAGGGGGGUAGAAUUCCACGUGUAGCAGUGAAAUGCGUAGAGAUGUGGAGGAAUACCGAUGGCGAAGGCAGCCCCCUGGGCCAAUACUGACGCUCAUGCACGAAAGCGUGGGGAGCAAACAGGAUUAGAUACCCUGGUAGUCCACGCCCUAAACGAUGUCAACUAGUUGUCGGGUCUUCAUUGACUUGGUAACGUAGCUAACGCGUGAAGUGACCGCCUG